UACGGGGGGGGCAAGCGUUGUUCGGAAUUACUGGGCGUAAAGGGCUCGUAGGCGGCCAACUAAGUCAGACGUGAAAUCCCUCGGCUUAACCGGGGAACUGCGUCUGAUACUGGAUGGCUUGAGUUUGGGAGAGGGAUGCGGAAUUCCAGGUGUAGCGGUGGAAAUGCGUAGAUAUCUGGAGGAACACCGGUGGCGAAGGCGGCAUCCUGGACCAACACUGACGCUAAGUGAGCGAAAGCCAGGGGAGCAAACGGG
rnacentral:rRNA from 1 species